AUUGAACGCUGGCGGCAGGCCUAACACAUGCAAGUCGAGCGGAGCGGCGGACGCGUGCGUAAUGCCUAGGACUCUGCCUGGUCGUGGGGGAUAACGAUCGCAAACGGGCGCGAAUACUGCAUACUAUCAGCUUAGCCUAGGUCGGAUUAGCUAGUUGGUGGGGUAAAGGCCUACACAGGCGACGAUCCGUAACUGGUCUGAGAGGAUGAUCAGUCACACUGGAACUGAGACACGGUCCAGACUCCUACGGGAGGCAGCAGUGGGGAAUAUUGGACAAUGGGCGAAAGCCUGAUCCAGCCAUGCCGCGUGUGUGAAGAAGGUCUUCGGAUUGUAAAGCACUGUAAGUAGGGAGGCGGUACCAACAGAAUAAGCACCGGCUAACUUCGUGCCAGCAGCCGCGGUAAUUC
rnacentral:rRNA from 1 species